rnacentral:rRNA from 1 species
GACGAACGCUGGCGGCGUGCUUAACACAUGCAAGUCGAACGGAAAGGCCCUGCUUUUGUGGGGUGCUCGAGUGGCGAACGGGUGAGUAACACGUGAGUAACCUGCCCUUGACUUUGGGAUAACUUCAGGAAACUGGGGCUAAUACCGGAUAGGAGCCCCUGCUGCAUGGUGGGGGUUGGAAAGUUUCGGCGGGUGGGGAUGGACUCGCGGCUUAUCAGCUUGUUGGUGGGGUAGUGGCUUACCAAGGCUUUGACGGGUAGCCGGCCUGAGAGGGUGACCGGCCACAUUGGGACUGAGAUACGGCCCAGACUCCUACGGGAGGCAGCAGUGGGGAAUAUUGCACAAUGGGCGGGAGCCUGAUGCAGCAACGCCGCGUGCGGGAUGACGGCCUUCGGGUUGUAAACCGCUUUCGCCUGUGACGAAGCGUGAGUGACGGUAAUGGGUAAAGAAGCACCGGCUAACUACGUG